GCCAGGUUUUCUUGCUGAUUUUUUCCCUUUCUGCCUGUGGGAUCUUGGAAUCUUGGGGGAACCCUCUUAUGUUUCUGAAGCCCAGUGACUGUCUUUGUGAAAUAAGGGGCAAGGCAAGAAGAGAAAACUCGGCAGGUAGAACCCACCUACUAUAGUACUCUGACUUUGGACUUCUGGUCUACCAAACUGGGAGGAAAUGUGUUUCUAUUGUUUAAGUCACCAAGUCUAUGUUUUAUCCAAAACAGAAGCAGUGGCAAUAAUUUUCAAAUUUGGCUCCUGGGAGGGAUCUUAUUCAUAAAAUAACCAACUACUAAAGCAGGCUCUAAUUUCCCUAUUUUUCCAAGGUCUGUGACAGACAGCAAGUAAACCUGUGACAGAAAAAUUGCGUGCUUACAAGUGAUUUCUCAUGAGAUUACCUUAAGGUUGGGAAGCUCUUGAAGCAUCCAGCUGCAUGCCCUACACAAUAUCUGCAAAGUACUCAGAGGAAACAGUGGGUGCCAGAUGCAACGACCUUGACAUUUAAGUCAGCCUCUGAGCAAAGAGAAAGAUUUUGCCUAACGGACUGUCAAAACAGUCAAGACAUCUCUAAAGUUGCUGGACAUGAUGGUGAGCAUCUGUUAUUCCAGAAUUUAAGAAAAGGGGGUAGGGGGAUUGCUACAAGUAGGAGGCCAGCCUGGGUAUAUACUGAGUUGGGAGUCAGCUUGGGUACAUAGAGACACUCUGUCUCUAUAAAGGGGAAAGAAAUCCACAUCUAUAAUGCCAUGAUGAGGGCUGCAUAAUUUUUUUUUAGGUCAUUAAACUUUUAUUUUUUUCCAGAAUUUAAGAAAAGGGGGUAGGGGGAUUGCUACAAGUAGGAGGCCAGCCUGGGUAUAUACUGAGUUGGGAGUCAGCUUGGGUACAUAGAGACACUCUGUCUCUAUAAAGGGGAAAGAAAUCCACAUCUAUAAUGCCAUGAUGAGGGCUGCAUAAUUUUUUUUUAGGUCAUUAAACUUUUAUUUUUUUUAUUAACUUGAGUAUUUCUUAUAUACAUUUCGAGUGUUAUUUCCUUUCCCGGUUUCCGGGCAAACAUUCCCCUCCCCCCUCCCCUUCCUUAUGGGUGUUCCCCUCCCAACCCUCC
rnacentral:lncRNA from 1 species